AUUGAACGCUGGCGGCAGGCCUAACACAUGCAAGUCGAGCGGAUGAAGGGAGCUUGCUCCUGGAUUCAGCGGCGGACGGGUGAGUAAUGCCUAGGAAUCUGCCUUGUAGUGGGGGAUAACGUCCGGAAACGGGCGCUAAUACCGCAUACGUCCUGAGGGCGAAAGUGGGGGAUCUUCGGACCUCACGCUAUCAGAUGAGCCUAGGUCGGUUUAGCUAGUUGGUGGGGUAAAGGCCUACCAAGGCGACGAUCCGUAACUGGUCUGAGAGCAUGAUCAGACACCCUGGCUGUGAGGCUGGGUCGAGACUCCUACAGGAAGCCGCAGUGGGGAAUAUUAGGCGAUGGGGGAAUGGCUAAUCCAGCAAUACCGGGGGUGUGAAGAAGGACUUCGGAUUGUAAAGCACUGUAGGUUGGAAGGAAGGGCAGUAAGUUUAUCCCUUGCUGUUUUGACGUUACCGACAGAAUAAGCACCGGCUAACUUCGUG
rnacentral:rRNA from 1 species